GCUCCUACGGGAGGCAGCAGUGGGGAAUAUUGGACAAUGGGGGAAACCCUGAUCCAGCGACGCCGCGUGGGUGAAGAAGGCCUGCGGGUUGUAAAGCCCUUUCGGUGGGGAAGAAAAGCCUCGACCUAAUACGUCGGGGUCUUGACGUAACCCAUAGAAGAAGCACCGGCUAACUCUGUGCCAGCAGCCGCGGUAAUACAGAGGGUGCGAGCGUUAAUCGGAAUUACUGGGCGUAAAGCGCGCGUAGGCGGCUUUGCAAGUCGGGUGUGAAAUCCCCGGGCUCAACCUGGGAACUGCAUUCGAUACUGCAUUGCUCGAGUAUGGGAGAGGGAGGCGGAAUUUCCGGUGUAGCGGUGAAAUGCGUAGAUAUCGGAAGGAACAUCAGUGGCGAAAGCGGCCUCCUGGACCAAUACUGACGCUCAUGUGCGAAAGCGUGGGGAGCAAACAGGAUUAGAUACCCUGGUAGUCA
rnacentral:rRNA from 1 species